ACGACGUUUCCCUUCUAGCCCACGCGUCCAUCAUCGAUGGCCCUUUCAGUUCGACUUCAUCCCAAUUUCGCUUCUCUCGCCAUUCUCACCUUUUGGGUAUUUUGGAACCUAGGUUUUUUUCUCUCCCGCAUUGCCGUUUUACUUGCUGUUUAGCGUUGCCAUCUUUCUCCAAAUCGGCAGGCCGAUAGAACCCGGCAAGGUCAGCAUGUAGUUCUAUGGAAGUACCGCCUGUGAUCUCAGCCAUCUCAGCCAUGCUCGCGCCGCCGUCAAUUUCGUUGUUUUGUUCAGGAUUUUGUGGGAGGACUCCCUUUGGAAUUGCCGAAUGCUGUUAUUUGUCGGGUGGAUGCCUUGGACGUAGAGUUAAUUCCUACUAAAAAGUCAUUUCGAACUCGGAUUCAGCCAGCCU